rnacentral:rRNA from 1 species
UACGUAGGGUGCGAGCGUUGUCCGGAAUUACUGGGCGUAAAGGGCUCGUAGGCGGCCGGCUAAGUCCGACGUGAAAUCCCCAGGCUUAACCUGGGAACUGCGUCGGAUACUGGCGGGCUUGAAUCCGGGAGAGAGAUGCGGAAUUCCAGGUGUAGCGGUGAAAUGCGUAGAUAUCUGGAGGAACACCGGUGGCGAAGGCGGCUUCCUGGACCGACACUGACGCUGAGGCGCGAAAGCUAGGGGAGCAAACGGG